rnacentral:sRNA from 1 species
CUUCCUGAUCCUUCUCAAAUAGUGCAAAUCCUUGAUGAGUAAGCUUUUAAAUAUAUGAGCCUAUGAGGGCUAUUAUUUAAACAACCAUAUUUUGGCUAUCAAACUUAGACCAUUUUAUUGCCAUUACAUUCUAAGCAUUCAAAGAUGACAUACAGCUUCACAAAGAGCUUUGUGAAUGGAAAAGUUCAGUUUCUAUAGUAGAUAUUUGUCAGCAACUGUCUUUGGUAGCUUUCUCAUUUCUCCUAGAUCUCUCACAAUGAGAUUUGCUCAUCAUAGUAAUGUGACAAAGACUAUUAGGAUUACAUGUUUCAGGUGAAGGCAAUCUCAGUCUGCAAUCUAAAAUUGUAAAUCAGAAAGUACUGAAAGGAUUAUAGUCUCCCUUUUCUAGCCAAGGGGUUGUUUUAAGAAAAACAUUUUAAGGAGUUGAUAAGGGUUCCGCCAGGUGGAGCGGGUGUGUCUGAAGUAAUAGUGGCCAAAGUGCAUAUACAGAGAGGGCUAAAGAUGAGAAACAAAGUCUUGGGAGUUUCUAUAUUUUUGGUUUCAGUUAUUUCUGAGUCUGGGAUGCACUACUAUACUUUAGACAGUUGAUUGUCCAGCAUAAUCCAUGGCAUCCUGUGUCAACCAAUCCCUUUGGACUGCUAACCAGAGACAUCUGCCCAUUGAGAUCAAGAGAGUUUUUCAUAAUGUGCUCCUUAUGGAGAAGUUUUCAGUGGUAUUUGAUAAUACCCAUCAUGGGGGGCUUUGCAUGCCUUCCAUGGAUAGAGGUCCUAUUGAAUCCUUUUGUGAUGAUUUCAUAACUCUUGAAGCAUUAUGAGGUUAGGUUGCUAGAGUAACAAAAGUAAGUGCUAAAAGACCUUAUGAAAACUACUGAAAAUAUUCAGGGAGAAAUAAAUGAAUUGUGAUGAUAUAGUAAGAUCAACAAGAAUUGAGGUAAAUUAAAGUAGAAGAGGAAAAGAUAUUAAGUUAGCUUCCUUACAUGCUAUCAGCUCAUCAUCAUUGGAAACAUGCUUUAAUGUUUUAAGUCAGCAAAUUCUUACCUGACCAUAAUUGAUCUUCAAGAAUUGGUUAUAGUUGGUCAGGCCAAGAAUAUCACUAGGGAUAAAAAUGCUAUUAUUCACUCAAAAAGUCCUUGUUAAGAGCCUUCAGAAACUUUGCAAAAUUUGUGCAUACAUCAGAGGGCUGAAAAUACAAAGACAUAAAAUUGAAUUUUCAGUCUAGCUUAGAUAACAUAGAGGACAUAACAUAGAGAUACUUGAAAGAGAUAGAGAUGAAGAAGAGGAAAACUUGCAAUUCCAAGCCAGGUAAGUCCUUUUGAAAAUAUAUUAUUUAUCUAUAUCUAAAAGAUUCAUUUUAAGUCAAGGUCUGUAUAGACAUCAAGAAAUACCUUCUCUCAGCAUAGCACUUGUCAAUUUUCUCAAUUUCAUCCCUCUCAAAGCAUAACAUAAGCACGAUUUUAUGGUUAAAAGGGGAGAAAAGCAUGAUGGUUAAAGACGGGAUGCCUUAGCUCACUAUUGUUAUCUCUUCCUUUUGUUCUGAAAGCCAACUCCUCAUUCUCUAUGUGAAUCCAUGCUUUUUAAUUUUAAUCAGUGAAGAAAUUUAUAUUCCCCACCAAUUCUGGAAAUGAGACCCCUCCCAGGUUUAACACCCCAUGCUACAAAUAACUCAAAUCACACAGGUCACACAUAACCGGUUAAAGGAAGCAAAACCCCAAAGAAAUGCUGCUGUACUGAAGCAGGGGUGUCAGUGGGGUCACUGUCUGUGAGCAGGGUCAGCACAAAGGAAUUCAUUGCUGUGCUGGUGAUGGUUUCCUUUUAUGCUGUCUAGUACAACUACUACCAUUCCCACAUGGCUUGGGCUCUAGAAAUAUGAUACAGUCUCUGAGGAACUACAUCUUCAUUUAUGUUCAUUUUAGUUAAAACUUCAGUAGAAAUAUAAACUGGUUACUAUACUGGCCAUACAGUUUGCACGCUUGUCUAAGACUACAACUUUAAGGUGCUUUAUAGUAUCAUUGACCUUUGAUUUUAAGGUGAACACUUCUGAGGAUAGAAUCAUACUUUUAGGCAACUUGGUGCAUCUUUGAAGAGAAAUGAAUGCUACAUGUGGCCUCUGGGUUAAAUACCAAAGUGAGAUAAGAUCAGUUGUACAGUGUUUAAGAAAGGAAACAUCCAUGCAAUUUUAUAAACUAGAAAAUUGUAUUCUUUCUAGAACCCAGGGUUCGCUAGUUUAGUGCAGCCUUGCCAUUUUCUUCUGUGUUGUACCCUUCAGAUUCAUUGCAUUUGGGGAGUAUACUUGAGUAGCUAAGAAAGCAGGAUCUGCCAUUUCUCCCCCAGUUAAGUUGCCAGAAGCAUCUCCUUGUGCUUACAAUAAAUUCCUCUAGCUCCUUUCCCCCUUUCUUCUUCCCCUAGGAGAGAUAAUUGGAUUGUGUGAUUUCCAUUAAAUGUAAUGUACCACAUGCAGAUGAAACACAAUAGCAAAAUGCAUUUAGGUAGAAUCUCUGGGAAAAAAAAUGGUCUGGAUGCUUUUCUGUUUGCUAAAAUUAGCUGCAAAAAUAUCUGUGGUUUGUACAAUUAACUGCAAAGGCUUAAUUUACUCUUAUUUUUUUAAAAAGGUUAUGUACAUUUCAUAACCCUGUGAAGAAAUAUUCUUUUAGAUAAGAGAGAUGUGAUUGCUUUUCUGCUUUUGCUAUAUCAUGUACAGCACUCAUAUGAGAAAAAUACAUACAGGGUUUUUCAGACAUACCAUUAUUCCACAUAGUGGUGCUCUAAACCUGCAGAAGUCAGGAGACCGAACACAGGAGUGCUGCAAUUGCUGGAUAAUGAUGCGGUGAACCUGAUUGCGGUUGGAAUUUUCUCUGAAAUGGACUCCCAAUAAAUUUUCUUUAAAGGUUCCUUGGGAUGCCAGUUUCUUUCUCCCACACCCUUGUCAUUUUGGUGGAGAAUCGUUGUUUUGUGGGCUGUAAAACCUCUUCAGAAGCCCAGGGUGUGAGUGCUUGUGUAAGAACUCAACAGUCUUUGAAAGUGCUUGACUUUUCCCAAUUAGAGUGAGCAAUCUCACAUUUGGAACAGGAGAGACAUGGAUGGAAAGAAUGGUAAAACCAGAAUUCCUUUUCAGCUGAUCUGGACUAUGCUGGGGAGAACCUGAUAUUAUAAGUCUGAUGUUGCCUGGUGAUCUUUCUUUAAUUACUGUCCAUAGCUGUUACUACCAUAACCCUUUGGAGCACUGAAUCCAUUUUAAUUACUUUCACUCAUAAUCAUGAAGGCAUCUGGGUUUGAAAGAGUGCUGCAAGCACACUGGUUUCUUGAGACAUGAGAAAUUCAUGGUAGAUACUACACUGUGUGCUUGGAAAGUCUUUGUUUUGUAUUUUGGGUGUGUCUGCAGCAUUCCUUCACUGUUAAAUAAACCCAAGUGGCUGAG